CGAACGCUGGCGGCGUGCCUAACACAUGCAAGUCGAGCGGAGAUUAUAGCAAUGUAAUCUUAGCGGCGGACGGGUGAGUAACGCGUGGGCAACCUACCUCUAACUGGGGGAUAACACAGGGAAACUUGUGCUAAUACCGCAUAACAUCAUGAAAUGACAUCAUUUUAUGAUCAAAGGAGCAAUCCGGUAAGAGAUGGGCCCGCGUCCAAUUAGCUAGUUGGUGAUGUAAUGGACCACCAGGGCGACGAUUGGUAGCCGAACUGAGAGGUUGAUCGGCCACAUUGGGACUGAGACACGGCCCAGACUCCUACGGGAGGCAGCAGUGGGGAAUAUUGCGCAAUGGGGGAAACCCUGACGCAGCAACGCCGCGUGAAGGAUGAAGGUUUUCGGAUCGUAAACUUCUUUGAUGAGGGACGAAACAAAUGACGGUACCUCAAAAACAAGCCACGGCUAACUACGUGCCAGCAGCCGCGGUAAUACGUAGGUGGCGAGCGUUGUCCGGAAUUACU
rnacentral:rRNA from 1 species